rnacentral:rRNA from 1 species
GAUGAACGCUGGCGGCGUGCCUAAUACAUGCAAGUCGAGCGAACGGACGAGAAGCUUGCUUCUCUGAUGUUAGCGGCGGACGGGUGAGUAACACGUGGAUAACCUACCUAUAAGACUGGGAUAACUUCGGGAAACCGGAGCUAAUACCGGAUGAUAUUUUGAACCGCAUGGUUCAAAAGUGAAAGACGGUCUUGCUGUCACUUAUAGAUGGAUCCGCGCUGCAUUAGCUAGUUGGUAAGGUAACGGCUUACCAAGGCAACGAUGCAUAGCCGACCUGAGAGGGUGAUCGGCCACACUGGAACUGAGACACGGUCCAGACUCCUACGGGAGGCAGCAGUAGGGAAUCUUCCGCAGUGGGCGAAAGCCUGACGGAGCAACGCCGCGUGAGUGAUGAAGGUCUUCGGAUCGUAAAACUCUGUUAUUAGGGAAGAACAUAUGUGUAAGUAACUGUGCACAUCUUGACGGUACCUAAGCAGAAAGCCACGGCUAACUACGU